rnacentral:rRNA from 1 species
UACGGGGGGGGCAAGCGUUGUUCGGAAUUACUGGGCGUAAAGGGCUCGUAGGCGGCCAGCUAAGUCAGACGUGAAAUCCCUCGGCUUAACCGGGGAACUGCGUCUGAUACUGGAUGGCUUGAAUCCGGGAGAGGGAUGCGGAAUUCCAGGUGUAGCGGUGAAAUGCGUAGACAUCAGGAGGAACACCAAUGGCGAAGGCAGCUCGCUGGAACGGUACUGACGCUGAGGCGCGAAAGCGUGGGGAGCGAACAGG